GAUGAACGCUGGCGGCGUGCCUAAUACAUGCAAGUCGAGCGGACAGACGAGGAGCUUGCUCCUCUGACGUUAGCGGCGGACGGGUGAGUAACACGUGGAUAACCUACCUAUAAGACUGGGAUAACUUCGGGAAACCGGAGCUAAUACCGGAUAAUAUAUUGAACCGCAUGGUUCAAUAGUGAAAGACGGUUUUGCUGUCACUUAUAGAUGGAUCCGCGCCGCAUUAGCUAGUUGGUAAGGUAACGGCUUACCAAGGCAACGAUGCGUAGCCGACCUGAGAGGGUGAUCGGCCACACUGGAACUGAGACACGGUCCAGACUCCUACGGGAGGCAGCAGUAGGGAAUCUUCCGCAAUGGGCGAAAGCUUGACGGAGCAACGCCGCGUGAGUGAUGAAGGUCUUCGGAUCGUAAAACUCUGUUAUUAGGGAAGAACAAAUGUGUAAGUAACUAUGCACGUCUUGACGGUACCUAAUCAGAAAGCCACGGCUAACUACGUG
rnacentral:rRNA from 1 species